UGAGUUUAGGAUGAUUAGGGGCAAAUUGGUCAUUUUGCACCAUUAAAAGAGAAUUCCAGAAUAAAUCAUCUCUUCACUCUUCAAAUAUACCCACUCUCAUCCAUAUCUGUUUAACAAAUCUCGUGUAUCUUUCUUGAUCAUUCAUCUCUCUGUUUCUUCGUCUUCUUCAGCUGAUGAAGAUGUAGUUGCUUUCUCCUUGGCGACAAAUCGAUUGUCAACUCCUCAAAGUAAUAGCUACUGGAAUUAUUUCUUUAGAAUUAUAAAGUUAGUUUCUAGCUGUGAAAAAUUUCAGGUGAAGAUAACUUCUAAUCUUUUUGGGUUUAUUGAUCUCACUUACAUUGAGGACAAGUAUUCAGGCUUCUCAAACAAAGAUCUAUUAAAUGUAUUGUCUAUUUUAGGAGCCACAAAGGCCGUUCACAAAGGCAUUCUAACACAAAGGUAUAACAUUUGUUGCUUAUAUUGGCUCCAAGCAGCGUAUCUUGAGACUUUGGUGCAAGAAAGUUUCGCAUUCUCAUUUUAUUAUUACAUUCAGAUAUUGAGGGUCAAUUUUAGUUAUAUAGAGAUUGCACUCUGUCUCUUGGAAAUUUGUAGUGCCUUUCAAGACUACUUAUGUUAUUAGCAUAAAUAUUGCAAAUUUGGGGCUCCAUCAAACCCGUGAGGUGUUGAGAAGCUACCACCGCAUAUUGUUGCAUCUGAGUCUGAUCUUUAUCUUAGAAGGUUGUAGGGCCUACCCCGUGAGGUCUGAAUUUUUCAACCUUUAUGACUAUCUAAAGUAGUCAGUUGAUUCUUGGCUCUUCAAUGUCUUUCGAACUUUAUUUGAAACUGAGAUUCUAGUAAUUCGUACUUGGACUGUACAGUGAUAUUACUACAAUUAUAAUUUUUGAAAACAUGA